CCUCGCCAGACCCAAGGCUGUAAACCUUGUGUAUUCCCAGUGUAAUGUAAACAUCUUCACCCACAGUGUGAUAGGAAGAUUCCACCAGGUCCCGGGAGAGAGGUUAAAAGGCAGAGACAACCUCAGAACGGGGUGAUCUUUGCAUUAUACCUCCGUGGUGUAUGUUCUGAUCUCCCCAGCUGGCUUUUUGAUUUCUUUCCUCAUUACUUUAUUGCAAAAUUUCCACCACAGAGUAACAGAAAAAAAAGGAGAUACAGUAACAACUCUGGAGAAGAAUUGUUUACACUCUGCCACACACACGCACACAUACACCACACACACAUAUCAUGUCAAGAGCAAAUGCUCCCACUGUUUCUGCUCUCUAUUCUAAUGCAGAACUGAGCGCGAUGAGGGUAAAUCCGGAUCUGGACUCCUUUCCCACCAUCAGCAGAAGAACCGAAGGAGAAGAAGCGCCGACCAACAACCAGAACAGGAUCUGGACUCCUUUCCCACCAUCAGCAGAAGAACCGAAGGAGAAGAAGCGCCGACCAACAACCAGAACAGGGUGGAAGCUCUGAUACCACAGCAGCUGGAGGACACAGACCACAGCAUGGAGGCCUCAGUGAUUUCCACAACGUCUGCAGCCAUCACGUUCUGGGCUCAUCAGAUGAACCAGCUACUACAAGCGUGUGUGUCUGACACAGACACCUGCUUAUGACAAUCAGCAAAGGAAAACAAGCACAGAGCAACAGCAGAGAAGACGUGCUCUGACACAGACACUGGUUGAAACAACAGGAGAAGCUUCAGACGUGAUCGGCCCAAUAGAGCUGCAUCCGAGAAUCCAGGAAAGGUCUGUCAUCGAGGAACAACUGUCCCAUUGAAAGGCUUCACCCACUGGCGCUCACAUCAGACUGAUGGUUGGGGAAGGAGGAAGGUGACGGUUCCUUUUCACGUGACACAGAAGACGUUACCGCAAACACACACACACAUUUAUACACGCAAUGAAGAAACACGCUUACAGCUGAUACACGCUCAAAUUCAUGUUCAUACUUAUCUGCUUAUUGCAAUGAAGAAUCCCAAAAAAAAAAUCCCAAAGAGUGAUUUUAAAAUGAUGACAAACAGCUAAAUGACAACUUCUGCAUGACUUUACAGUCUGAUGGGUUUAAACAAUUUUAAUUUGCAUCAAAUUCAGUAAUAAAAUCCUUCAUGUUUCUAAAAAUACUUGUGCA
rnacentral:lncRNA from 1 species